GUAGUUAGUGGCGGACGGGUGAGUAACGCGUGGGAAACCUGCCCUAGUACAGGGGGAUAGCCUCGGGAAACCGGGAUUAAUACCCCAUAAAGCUCUAGAAUCGCAUGAUUCAAGAGUCAAAACUCCGGUGGUAUAGGAUGGUCCCGCGUCCCAUUAGCUAGUUGGUGAGGUAACGGCCCACCAAGGCGACGAUGGGUAGCCGGCCUGAGAGGGUGAACGGCCACACUGGAACUGAGACACGGUCCAGACUCCUACGGGAGGCAGCAGUGGGGAAUAUUGCAACAAUGGGGGAAACCCUGAUGCAGCGACGCCGCGUGAGCGAAGAAGGCCUUCGGGUCGUAAAGCUCUGUCCUAAGGGAAGAAAAAGACGGUACCUUAGGAGGAAGCCCCGGCUAACUACGUGCCAGCCGCCGC
rnacentral:rRNA from 1 species